rnacentral:rRNA from 1 species
GCUCAGAAUUGAAACCCUGGCGGCAGGCCCUAACACCAUGCAAGUCGACCGGUACCAGAGAGUAGCUUGCUACUCUGCUGACGAGCGGCGGACGGGUGAGUAAAUGCUUGGGAAACUGCCCAGUCGUGGGGAACAACUAUUGGAAACGAUAGCUAAUACCGCAUACCGCCUACGGGGUAAAGAAGGGGACUCUUCGGAGCCUUUCGCGAUUGGAUGUGCCCAAGUGGGAUUAGCUAGUUGGUGAGGUAAAGGCUCACCAAGGCGACGAUCCCUAGCUGGUUGAGAGGAUGAAUCAGCCCACACUGGAACUGAGAACACGGGACCAAGACCCCUACUGGGAGGCAGCCAGUGGGGAAAUAUUGCUACAUUGACGAAAAGACCUGAUGCAGCCCAUGCCCGCGUGUUAUGGAAAGAAAGGUCCUCGGGUUGUUAAAGUACUUUCAGCGAGCAGGAAAGGUUGGUGGUUAAUAACCAUCAGCUGUGACGUUACUCGCAGUAGAAGGUACCGGGCUAACUCCGUGCCAGCAGCCGCCGGUAAUACGGAGGGUCCGAGCGUUAAUCGAAAUUACUGGCCGUAAAGCGUACGCAGGCGGUUUGUUAAGCGAGAUGUGAAAGCCCCGGGCUCAACCUGGGAACUGCAUUUCGAACUGACAAACUAGAGUUUUGUAGAGGGUGGUAGAAUAUCAGGUGUAGCGGUGAAAUGCGUAGAGAUCUGAAGGAAUACCAGUGGCGAAGGCGGCCACCUGGACAAUUAACUGACGCUCAUUGUACGAAAGCGUGGAUGCAAAACGGAAUUAGAUACCCCGGUAGUCCACGCCGUAAACCGAUGUCAACUAGCCGACUGGACCCUUGAGGUCUGGGUGGCGCAGCUAACGCAUUAAGUUGACCGCCUGGGGAGUACGGCCGCAAGGUUAAAACUCAAAUGAAUUGACGGGGGCCCGCACAAGCGGUGGAGCAUGUGGUUUAAUUCGAUGCAACGCGAAGAACCUUACCUACUCUUGACAUCCACAGAAUUCGCUAGAGAUAGCUUAGUGCUUCGGGAACUGUGAAACAGGUGCUGCAUGGCUGUCGUCAGACCGUGUUGUGAAAUGAUUGGGUUUAAGAAAACGCCUACGAGCGAAACCACUUGUUCCAUUAGUUACCAUGCAACGAUUAAUAAUGGGUUACAACUUGGAAAGUAAUACCGGUUGAAUAAAAAAGGAGAAAGAAUGGGGACGACGUCAAGAACUUCAUGGCCCUUACGAGAAGGGCUACACACGUGCUAAAAAUGGUACAUACACAAGGGUUGCAAAAAUCGACGGGACCGAACUAAGCCCCAAAAGAUGUAACGUAAUCCGGAACGGAAUCUGCGACUCGACUCCGUGAAAGUCGGAAUCGCUAGUAAUCGUAGAUCAGAAUGCCUACGGUGAAUACGGUUCCCGGGCCUUGUUACACACCGUCCGGUCACACCAUGGGGAGUGGGCUUGCACCAGAAGUAGAUAGCUUAACCUAGCUUGCUAGGAGGGCGUUUACCACGGUGUGGUUCAUGACUGGGGUGAAGUCGUAACAAGGUA